rnacentral:rRNA from 2 species
GUUAAGUGGGAAACGAUGUGGGAAGGCCCAGACAGCCAGGAUGUUGGCUUAGAAGCAGCCAUCAUUUAAAGAAAGCGUAAUAGCUCACUGGUCGAGUCGGCCUGCGCGGAAGAUGUAACGGGGCUAAACUAUGCACCGAAGCUGCGGCAGCGACACUAUGUGUUGUUGGGUAGGGGAGCGUUCUGUAAGCCUGUGAAGGUGUGUCGUGAGGCAUGCUGGAGGUAUCAGAAGUGCGAAUGCUGACAUAAGUAACGAUAAAGCGGGUGAAAAGCCCGCUCGCCGGAAGACCAAGGGUUCCUGUCCAACGUUAAUCGGGGCAGGGUGAGUCGACCCCUAAGGCGAGGCCGAAAGGCGUAGUCGAUGGGAAACGGGUUAAUAUUCCCGUACUUGGUGUUACUGCGAAGGGGGGACGGAGAAGGCUAUGUUGGCCGGGCGACGGUUGUCCCGGUUUAAGCGUGUAGGUGUGUGUUCCAGGUAAAUCCGGUU